rnacentral:lncRNA from 1 species
UUUGGGUUGGUGACCAAACCUCUAAUAAGAUUCCUGCUGCCCCUGCGGAAGCCUUUGAGUAGUAUGGUGGAAUCUGAAUUGUCCUCACCGAAAUUUCUCAUGCUGCCUCUACUUCAAAAUGGUCAUGACCGGGAAGUUGCGAUGAACGGCCAAAACAGCACAACCCUGCCUCUACUUCAAAAUGGUCAAGACCCGGAAGUUGCGAUGAACGGCCAAAACGGCACAACCCAUCCAAGGAGUCUAUGCAUGCUCUUGACAACUCCUGCUCACUCCGUGCACUAUUACUGGCGUAAGUUUGAUAAUGCU